rnacentral:misc_RNA from 1 species
AAUUGAACCUCUCCUCAUUCCUUCUACAAGAGCUAAAUUCGCAAUCAAUAACUUCAAAAUAAUAAAAAUUUCCAAAUAAUAUUUUAUGAUUGCUAGACUGGAAGAUCCUGAAUAGGAAAUUGCAUGAUAAUACCAGAUAGGAAAAUUUACAAGAAAAAUCUAUCUUCAAAAUUAAGCAUUAUUAAAUAAAGUAGUCCCUAAAUAUAUUUUUCCUUGAAUUCUACCAGGGUUUUGAAUAGCAGCACCUGGAACACACUCUAUUAUCCAGUUUUAUUGAGACUAUUUUUUAAAGAAUUACCAAAAAUACUCUAAUUUAUUGUCUUACAAGAAUUUAUCCAGAUAUGCAAUAUAUUACUAGUAACAGUGCUUAAAAUCAACUACUAAGCUUACAUAAUUAAAUUUUAAAAAUAUUAAUUUUUUUUUUAAAUUAUGAUAAUUUCAUAAGAGAUUAUAUGAAUAAGUUGACAAACCUUUUUUUAUAAGAAAAUGGAAAAACUCAGCGUCAAUAGGACAAUAAAAGAAGGCUUAACAGUAUGGUUUUAGGAGGCCCAAAAAUUUAAGAAAUUCAGCUAUAAAUUAUUUAAAACAAAAAUCGUGCUAGUAUAUAUUUCACAAGAUCUAUGUGCUGCAUAGCAAUUGCAGCAUUGACUAAGAAUCUUGCCUAAAAAGCAAAUUACCUGUGAGCAAUGGAAUCCAAAAGGAUGCAUGAUCAUCUUUGUCACUGAAUGCUUGAAUAUCUGAAGCAACCUCAUUUCCCACUGAAGUGGAUGCAUCAUCAGCCCUGCUCUUUUCAUUCCAUACAAGUCCUCCAUCUGCAAGUUUGACAGCACAA